CAAAAAGUUUUUGAACACUGCUACACUGCCAGGCCAAAAAAAAAAGGUCACACAUUCUAAUAUUUUGUUGAAGAGCUUUUAGCUUUGAUUGUGGCUUUACACAUUCGUUGUGGAACUGUUUCGAUAAGCUUCUGCAAUGUCAAAAGAUUUAUUUUUCACCAAGAUCUUGCAGCAGCAUUGAUGAUGGUAGAAUCUGACCGCUGCACAAAGUCAUGUCCAGCACAUCCCAAAGAUUCUCAAUGGGGUUAAGGUCUGGACUCAUGUUGGACUAAUGAUGAUCUCAUACUGCCUGAACCGCUCUUUCACAAUUCCAGCCCCAUGAAUCCUGGCAUUGUCAUCUUGGAAUAUGCUCGUGCCAUCAGGGAAGAAAAAAACUUUAGCAUUUAACCAAAAGGUUAUUGGAUACUGCUAUAUUAGACAAAAGUAGUAACAUCCCAACAUUUUAGGCAAAUGUUGUUGUUGUUUUUUUUGGCAUUUAACCAAGGAUAGCAACCACUUUUUACACUCUUCAGACUUUUCCAAGCCAACAUAAAGCUUUCCCUUUCUUGUUUAAAUUGGAAAUGUAAUUUGUAAGUGGAUGUUCGGUUGUUGUGAGUUAAUGUUAGUUAGUGUGGGGGGUGUGCUGUGUUGUGGGUUUUUGAGAGUGAAGCAGUGAGUUAGCUGGGUUAAGUGGCUCGGUGUGAUGUGAAUUGGGAGUGGAUGCUCAGUGGUGUAAGUUAAUGUUAGUUAGUGUGGGGGGGUGUGCUGUGUUGUGGGUUUUUGGGAGUGAAGCAGUGAGUUAGCAGCUAGUUGGCUCGGUGUGAUGUGAUUUGGGAGUGGACCGAAGGCAGUCUCGUCUACUUGCCCGAGUCUCGCGAUGCCUUGGCUUGUCCUGCUGCUGCUGCUGUAAGAUGGCGAAGGCGUGCACGCUCGCUGUCUCUCAGGUUUCAAGAAGCUUUGAAGUUUGUCAAAAAAUCGCUUGGGCUUUGGUUGGUUGUGAGCUGUGUGCUGCUGCAGUGCUGGGAACCGUGGGCUGCAGUGCUGGGAGAUGUGGGCUGAGGUAGUAGUUUGUAUAGUUUGGGAUCACACCAGAUCUGGGAGAUAACUAUACAGUCUACUGUCUUUCU
rnacentral:lncRNA from 1 species